rnacentral:lncRNA from 1 species
CUAUUAUUUAAAACAGGGAAAACUGCCCCAUGACAAAACUUUAAAGCCCUGCAAAAGGCUCUGAGAUAGUCCAUUUCCUUGCUGCCCUUGGAUGCCUGCUCCACGUUCCUCCGGUAAGCUCCCCAGAGACGGCCACUCUUAGCAGCUUCCUGAGCGCGUCCCUGCAGAGAGGUUCCUCGCACGCACAGGCAGAUGUGGACACGCUGCCCUGGACCUGGCUUUUUUCACGUGAGCCCCUUGGAGCUUUUCCUCAUCAGGUCACAGAGAGUGGCCGGCUGUACCCAACGCUCCUCCGCAUCUAUCCUAAGAAUCCAAGCGUCAUCCUGCAGCAAGACCUGCCCACCAGGUUUACAGCAUCCCAGGUCACAGUAGCCCAACCAAGGAACAGACCUCUGUGUCCACCAAAGAAAAAUGCACUAUGGAUUUACUGUGGAGUUGGGGGUUUUUUAACACUGUUUUUUUAAAUUUUAAUUUACGGGGCUG